AGAGUUUGAUCCUGGCUCAGGAUGAACGCUAGCUACAGGCUUAACACAUGCAAGUCGAGGGGAAACGGCAUUGAGUGCUUGCACUCUUUGGACGUCGACCGGCGCACGGGUGAGUAACGCGUAUCCAACCUUCCCAUUACUGUGGGAUAACCUGCCGAAAGGCAGACUAAUACCGCAUAGUCUUCGAUGACGGCAUCAGAUUUGAAGUAAAGAUUUAUCGGUAAUGGAUGGGGAUGCGUCUGAUUAGCUUGUUGGCGGGGUAACGGCCCACCAAGGCAACGAUCAGUAGGGGUUCUGAGAGGAAGGUCCCCCACAUUGGAACUGAGACACGGUCCAAACUCCUACGGGAGGCAGCAGUGAGGAAUAUUGGUCAAUGGACGGAAGUCUGAACCAGCCAAGUAGCGUGCAGGAUGACGGCCCUAUGGGUUGUAAACUGCUUUUGUAUGGGGAUAAAGUCAGUCACGUGUGAUUGUUUGCAGGUACCAUACGAAUAAGGACCGGCUAAUUCCGUGCCAGCAGCCGCGGUAAUACGGAAGGUCCAGGCGUUAUCCGGAUUUAUUGGGUUUAAAGGGAGCGUAGGCUGGAUAUUAAGUGUGUUGUGAAAUGUAGACGCUCAACGUCUGACUUGCAGCGCAUACUGGUUUCCUUGAGUACGCACAACGUUGGCGGAAUUCGUCGUGUAGCGGUGAAAUGCUUAGAUAUGACGAAGAACUCCGAUUGCGAAGGCAGCUGACGGGAGCGCAACUGACGCUUAAGCUCGAAGGUGCGGGUAUCAAACAGGAUUAGAUACCCUGGUAGUCCGCGCAGUAAACGAUGGAUGCCCGCUGUUGG
rnacentral:rRNA from 1 species